UAAAUUUUCUUACAAGAAGCAAAAUGUCUAGUGGCGAUUUGAAAGCACCACUAGUUCGAGGAUGGAAAAGAGAGGCCACUUUCGAAAGUAUUACAAGAGAUUCAGAAAUUGAAGGCAAGGUCUGCUAUUAUUCUCCUGGGUCCAGACGAAAGCUGCGAUCCGUUGAACAAAUUCAGAAAAUUUUGGACAAGCAAUGCUCUAGCCUGACUAUCGAAAACUUCUCCUUCUCAAGUAAAGUAAUGGUCGGGGUUUUCAUACAAUACCAUGGUGGUCUCGUCUACAAGCAUUUUAGCGAUGUGGCAAUGGCUGAUCAUUUGAAAACGGUGAAACAAUUGAGAGCUCCUAUUGACCGUGGGAAAUGUAAGAAGAUAAACGAGCCCAGUAACAAAGACGUCGUAAACUCGAAUCCGAUGGUUUCCGAUCCAUUGAAGUCACUAGAACCAGAAAGCAUGAAUGUCGUGCCAUCUGACAGCGAAAGUGAUGGUCUUUCUGAAAUUAAUUCCGUCUCUGCUCUUGGAUCGAAUGCAGCCGAUUCUUCACUGCACCGAUGUAUAAGACUUAAGAGGUACGGCUCGAAAGAAUGCAAUUUCUACGAUGAGAACGGAUAUAUAUACUCAAUCAACAAUAACGAUCCUGCUGUGAAAAAUUAUUAUUUUCGGUGCAAAAGCGACAAAAAAUACCAUUGCAAGGUUCGGGCAAUCUCAAAGAAUAAAGAUUUGGAUAAUACAGUUCUAAAAGGAGAGCACAGUCAUUCUGGGACGUGCACACAAUGAAAUUUCGCUACAAUUUGGACAAAGAAAUUGAAAGAAGCCCACUAGAAUUUGGUAGAGAAGUCUACUUAAAAACGAUGGAUGCAAUGGUAGAUGAAAUCGAUGUAACCAAUGUUCCUGACAAAAAGGAACUUUCGAGCUUCAUUUCUCGCCGAAAGCUGAAGUUCAUACCGAAACUACCAAAUACAGUCACUGAUUUUGAAAAGAAAAUCAGCAACGAAAAUUACAGCGACAGGUUCACGAAAGAUAGACAAAAACAGCCAUUCUAUCGUGGUGUUUGGAAAAGCGAGAAGGGCGGUUGUAACAUUGCAUUCAUCUCUGAAACUGUUCUUAAAUUUGUACUAGUCAUGUCAAGUAUCGUAUUCCGAAUGGACGGUACUUUCAAAGUUUUACCCAGACACAUCAAAUUCGGUCAACUUUUCAUUAUAAGCGUGAUUUACCGCGACAAAUCGUACCCUCUCGCUUAUAUAUUGAUUUAACGGAGAAAUUACGAAGCCUAUGACAAUGUUUUUACAAAACUGAGCGAGAUAAUCCCAAGUCAUCUCGUAUCGGAAGUGAUGGCUGAUUACGAAGCCGCUACGCGAAAGGCAGUUUUGAAACAUUUUCCAAAAGCACGAUUAGUGGGUUGCUGGUUCCACUAUGUGCAGGCUAUAAAUCGAAUUGCAAAACGUUUUGGGCUAUUGAAAGAUGACAAAUUUUCGGAUACGAUUAAAUAUAUAUCUGCACUGGCCCUCUUACCGCACAAUUACGUUUCGGAUGGUUUCAAGUAAAUCGACGACGGUGUCACGAGUUCUCGUCGUUGGGAUAGAUUUGCGAGUUAUUGGUUGAGACAAUGGAGAGGAGCCAAUAUCUCUGUUUAUGGUAUCGUUGAUCGCACCAACAACUACGCCGAAUCCCUUAACAAAUCUUUGAACGUUCUAAUUGGAGCUCGCCACCCCAACAUUUGGAAGUUGAUCGAGCGUAUUAAUAUGAUAAAUUUGGACUAUUCGAACAUGAUAACAAAGGCAUCCCGAGGCAAGAUGAAUAAAACCUACAAGAAGAAAGUAACGACUUUACUUAACAAACGAAUCGAAAACGCGACGAAGAUUUUUGACCGAACAAAGGACAUCGGCCGAUUUCUACAGGAGGUAACAUACGAUGUGAAAUUAGAUGUUCUUCUCAAAGAACGUCUUAACAUCAAUGACAUGAGCAAAGAGGAAGAGCAUGAUUAUGAGGAAAUAAUUCCAAACAGUUUCAAUUCAAAAACUAUGCGGAAACGUCGUAACUCCCAAAACUAAAGGGAACAAGUGAAAUUAACGGAGAACGAAUGUAAUUAGUGUAUUUUCGAAAUUCAAAAUUUUUGGUGUUGCUUACAAAAUAUUAA